CGGACGGGUGAGUAAUGUCUGGGAAACUGCCCGAUGGAGGGGGAUAACUACUGGAAACGGUAGCUAAUACCGCAUAACGUCGCAAGACCAAAGAGGGGGACCUUCGGGCCUCUUGCCAUCGGAUGUGCCCAGAUGGGAUUAGCUGGUAGGUGGGGUAACGGCUCACCUAGGCGACGAUCCCUAGCUGGUCUGAGAGGAUGACCAGCCACACUGGAACUGAGACACGGUCCAG
rnacentral:rRNA from 1 species